GAUUGGUUGUUGUUCUUUCUCUUUACCUGAGUCUCUUGUAUUACUGCUCCUUAAGGUCACUCCUUAACUUUGCAUGCCUGUACCCUCCUGGUUUGUAUUCCCUCCCAACGGGCAGUAGGGGUUUUAAAGAAAAGUGCCUGGCAUUGGGAGAGUUGUCCCUUUGCCACACGUGGCAGGGCUUGGAGAUCCCAAGAUCACACCUGAGAUCUGUCAAAUAAAUGUAAAUAGAUUUAACACCUGGAUUCGGAAGGAUCUAAGUAGGAUGUGGGUAGAAAAACUCCGUAUUAAAACCUGAACACACAGCUACCGUUCUCAGGCAUCCUAUCUCUCCUAGGUACACAGGUCAAUAUCCUGAGGAGCCCUGUCUGCAUCAAAGCUUUCUCUGGUUGCUGUGCUUAGAUGUGGACUGAAAAGGGCCCAGCAUAUCAGUUCCCUAUAAGGGAAAUUCUGUCCCUGUCUGCCAGUUUGACUGUAGCAAUAGGGUCCAUAGGGAGACUUCCGUCACGUGUGAUUGUGGAACAGAGCAUGGCAAAGAAAGGCAUACAUAAAGGGAAAAAAAAUGGGAGGACAAGUAGAUGAAAGACAACGUGUGUUUGGGAGUAGCAGGAAAAGGGAAACCUUGACACAGUUGAUUAUUGUGCUCAUUUAAAAAAAAAAAGGGGGAAAGCUCAGAAGUUUUGGGGUUUUCAUUCCAUGCCAAAUAAACAGAGUAGGUUGCUUCAUUGUCCGCUGCCUCAAUUUUGUUUUUUUCAGCAUAGAUUCCUGGAUUUGCUUAAAGGAAUACAGCAUUUAUGUGAGAAUGCACUUUACCACAGUAUAUAUAUUUGCAAAGAUUGCAAGGCUUGCAGGUGUGUAUCCUCCAGGACAUGCUCUGAAGAGUUCAGCAGAAGAGGAGAGGAGCUGGAACCAGCCACUGGAGAAGCCCUGUAGUCCACACCCAUGCAGCCCUCAACCUGUCCUUCCCUGCAUAAUCUCUGGGGGGUCUCCCAGGCAGGAAAACUUCCCCAAGAAGCAGCACAGUGAAAGCCCUACCCAGCCACCAGCACAGUUGUACUCAUGCUUGCUGCUGCUUUCUGAUUCAAUUAAUGCUUUCAUUCAUUUAUGUGCAUGGAUUAUUUCAUCAUAGCGGAUCAGCUAAUGCAGUUGAGAUUCCUGUUCCACAUCAUUGUGUUUACUGUCAGCAGAGAGGAAAGGGAUGCUUCAAAUUCCCGCAAGUCAAGAGACUGGGGAAAUCAGCUCUGGAUCAUGUCUCUUUUGAGUUGGUGCUCAAAACCUCUGGGACAUUACAUAAACAGGCGAUGCCUCUUCCUAUUGCAUUUUCUAAGUUCCUAGCAGCAGGCUGGAGUUGGGCAUCCUGACUAGAAAAUGGCACCUCUGUCAUUCAGAAAAGGACAUCUCAUUGUCUAAGAAGGGCUUAACCUUUACCCUCCCUUUGGCACCUCCAGCAGCUGCAGAGGCAAUUUUCUAUUUGCUUUUAUGAAUCAUAUCCUGAGGUACCUUGCUUUCCCUGUCUGUUGCAUAGGAAGUUUGAAUGCUUAACUUUUCUUUUUAUAUUACAUAGGGUGAAGAAGUGCCUGAAGUCAUAAUGUGCAGCUCUCAGUAUCACAAUAGCUAAAUCCUUCUGUGGGCCAAGAUCUUUUUCCCUAACUGGUGCCCCUGUACUGACUGAGCACACUGCAACCUCAGUGGGCUGAGAGGCAGUUCAGACACUAACCUCCCACUCAGACAUCAUCCUGGUAAGCAUCAUGUCCAGCUCAAGUCCUGCCUUUUCCCAUCCUCACCACUCCAUAGCACACAUUAUUCUGGGUUUAACUCGUACUGUAUGCAAAGAAUGUGGUUGUAAAUGGAAAAAGCCAGACAGACAAGACAAAAUCUGGCAGGUUUUAGUAACACUUAGGUAAGAUGCUGACAUAUCAGAAGUAUUGGGGGGGGUGCUUGUAAGGGGAAAGGAAUCUGAAGUUCUUCCUAAAAUUAGCUAAAAUCAUUUGCUUGAGCCUGCACUCCUUGGAAAAACAAAUAACUUCCCUGGGCAUAUUUAGUAGCUAUACCUUACUCCAAACAGAUGCAAACCUGUGUAUAUGGCAAGAAAAAACAUCGUAAGAAUGGCAAGAAACACAAUGCUGAGUUUGGAAGCUGAACCAAAGUUAAGUUUAUACAAGCAGCAAGUGAAACACCCAUCCCCAGUGAGUCAGGUCCUGGCUGUUUCCUUCAUUUCCUCCAAGGCUUGCUGUGAACACCCAGCAGUAACAGUCCUUCUGAAAUUCAGUCAUCUCCUUUCCUGCCCCUUAUUUAUAGCUUGCUCUCAGCAGUUAGCAGAGUCCCAGUAUGCAGCACUGCAUUUUCACAGGCUCUUCUCCAGCACACUGAGAGAAGUGCAGGCUCUCCCAGACCUCAGCUCAGCUUUGGUAGCACAGGUCCCAUUUCCUGUUGGAUUUGUAAGUGCUAGCGCCUGUUGAGUGACAGCAGAUGCUGGAAUAAAGGAGGGGACAAAAUGGCAGAUUGCACAGUUCACCAGUGUUUUUUGGUUUUAUCUUGAAUACAGCUAUAUUGAAAGUGGUUUUAUGUUCCUCUAACUGUCCCUUUGGGUUCAGUCUCUUAGGGCAGAGGAUACAGUGGAAUAUUAAGGUGUGUCAGUGUGUAAACCGUUUCUCAGAGAUAUGAGUUUGAACCUGCUGAUUCAGGCUAAGGUGUAUCC